rnacentral:lncRNA from 1 species
AGCUUUCUCAAAAGUUACAGUUCUUUGUGAUGAGAUGCUCCUGCUCAGCCCACCUUCUGCGUGGACUGCAACAGUAUUUUUUUGCUGCCCAACGUUAGCAACAGCAACACCUGUUCCAGGUGAUGGGGCUGAUCUAGUAGAACUUGGAGAGGUGGUUGCAGACUUCACGCUGUUAUCUGAAAUACCGGACACGGACUUAAAAGGAUGCAGAGGAGAUACUGAUGUCUUGGUUGCAUCAAAGGAUACAACUGAGUGUCUACUGCCAUGGGAAACUUCAGACUGACGAGGUCUUCCAGGCUUGGCAUCCAUUUCUGCCUCAACACGUUUCUUCCAUGUAUCAACCAAGCUCCUUGCCUUUUUCCCAAUUUCUGAGUUCUUAUGUGAUCGCAAUCGAUUAACAGACUUCCCAAUGUUGCAAGUCUGAAGAGCAUUGAGGUUCACAGGCAGCUUGUCAAGAGCACGUAGUAAAAUCAAAAGAAACUCGUCCACUGAUCUAUCAUUGUCUUUGGGACUGCUCCCAUCCCCAAUUUUCCUUCUAUGAAUCUCCUGUAGCCACUCAUCAAAAACAGAUAAACCCCUCAGCUGGACGAAACGACUGAGACAGUCAAACUUGUCUGUUGCAGCUACAGCACUUGCAAGAAUGGACCGCCCAAUCAAAUCUGUCUUCUUCUCAUUCUUCUCAGGUAGCAUGAGCUGUACCAAUUUCUCAACCCCUUCAGAAUCCACUAGCCUCCCUCUCUCAGUAAUUUUUGCAAUCUCAGACUUCAAACUGCUUUCUUUUCUUACAAAACCAGAACCACCAUCAUCACCUCGGCUCGGACGUUCCCUUUUCACAGAUUCAGAACCCUGAUCACCACGCUCUCUCUUCCUUCCCUUGCCCUGUGAAGAAGAGGAGCUACUGUUCUGCAUACCUUCUGUUCCUGUUUUCACUUGAGAUGUUGUUAACCUAGGAGAACAACCACACUGCUGUAAACUCUUACACAAUAAGUUAUCUACUUCUUGUUGACGUUCCUGCAUAAAAAAAAAAGACUUGUCAAAACCAGAGAAGAAACAUAAUUGGAUAACGAAUUUUAAUCACUCACUCACUCACAUCGAUAUAAUCUUGAUCAGUGAGCCACCAAAUAGACUCAUUCAUAACAUCAUAAACCCUCCAGCAAACAAACGAAGAGAUUCCAGAUGGGAGUUCAACGCCUCUGGGAAGAAAGGUAACUUUACACGGAUGAAGCAAAGACGCAGCAGGUAUCUCAUCCUCGUGAAAGGAGUAAAAGAUCUCGUUAGGCUGAGCCUCCAAAAGGACGCCCUUCCCAAGCUUCAACUCACCGGGUCGAUACAGCCAAUUCACACGAACCUUAAAGCUGCCUCCUUCUUCUCGUUCCGGAACCAGCAAACGGAUCAAACCAAUGAACGGUGGACAAUCCUGAGGCGGCUUGAACAGAGCACAGUCACCAACACUAAUCCUCCUCCCGUCCUGCAAUAACCAUCAUCAAAAUCAAAACUUUAAAUCAAAUCGGAACCAAUCAAAAGCCAAUUGAGACGAAUCAAGUUACCUUAGAGAAGGAAGAAGGUGAAGAAAGAGAGAGCGACGAAGAAGAAGAAGAAGCGGUUGAGAUUAGACGCGAAGGAGGUCUAAGCAUAAGCAGACGACGAUGACCUUUCUUCCUCCCAUGCAUAGCCGUCUCUCAUUUUUUCCCCUUUCGAAUCAAAACAAACACAAUUUCGUCUUCCUUGUCAGAAUUGGUUUUCGAUUAAAAAAAACCCUAAAAUUGAGAUUAAAAGAAGAAGAUGCGAUUCCUUAGGGAUUGAUUUUUGAAAUCGAGUACCUGAUCCAAUCAACCCGCGAAGAUCCAACAGCGAGAAGAAGAAGAAACCCCCGUAGAGUGCGAGACACGAAUCGAAAGCACGCCCUUGUUUGUUUUUUCGAUCCAGCGAAGAAGAAGAAGAAGAAGAAGAAGAAAAAAAAAUAAAAUCGAGAGAGAGAGAGAGAGAGAGACGAAGGCAAAAGGGGGGUACUACGAGUCGGGGCAGUUCGGGCAUGUGUUUCGGGCAGCGUUUUUAUUUAUUUUGUUUUUGGUUUUCUGGUGACAUUUGAGUGUGUUUUUCUUUUCUCCCCCCUUUUUAUAGCUCUUUUUGAUUUUUCUAAUUUUUUCCUAAAUUUAAAACAAAACGAACUUCGUGAUUUAAAAAAAAAAGUUAUUUGGGUUAAACACAAAAAAAAGUCUGAUCAUUUAUAAAAAUCAAACGAAAUUUAGGAUCAUUUUUAAUCAACAAACUCAAAAAUAAAUGUGAGUACUUUAUAAAAUAAAAUUAGAGAAAUGUUCUGCUCAUUUUGUUUCAUAUAAUGUAUUUUAAAAAAUGUUCUCGCGUAUUUAAAAUUGAAUUAGAAACUCUAUUUUAUCCGUUGACACACUUUUUUAUUUAUUUAAUACACUAAUACAAUAAGGUUAAAAAUGAACAUUUAUUUAAAUUUUGUAUUGAAAAUAAAAAACGACACACUUUUUGAAAUAAAAAUAAAACUCUAAACACACUUUUUAAGAAACUGGGAAGUAUUAUCUAAUAUUUAUAGAAGAAAAUAUCACAUUCAUCUAAAAAUAGAAAAAAAAAUAUAACAUAUUGGAGUAAAAUCUUCAUUUUCUGUAUCUUUAGAUAUGUGCACAUUUUCUUGCCAAGAAGAUAAGAAAUAUUGAAAUUUUCUUUUUUCCAUGUAGAUCAGAUCUGGUCUGAGAGAGCGUCUCUUUGGAACGUAUCAGCCAUGACUAAUACUUAUCUUAUAAAAUAAGUGUCGUAAAAAAAUGGAGUAAAAUUCCUAUGUAUUUGAAAAAUUCUAUUUUUAGUGGAAAAAAACUAGAAGAGAGAUUAUCUAUAUAGCAAGCAAACUAAAAUUAUAAGCAUGAAUAAGUUGUUUCCACAAGUUUACAAAACCGAUCAGUUUAUAUAAUAAUUUUGUGAUUUGAUCCAGUUUAUUCUGGCUGAUUACGGUUUGAAUGUGGUGACCUACCCUCCACAACAAGUUAUGUUUGGUUAUGAUUUUUAUGCGAGGAUCUUUUGGUUACAUUGUACAGUGUCAAAUCACUGUCAUCAAAGUACAAGUCAAUCAUUGUCUCUCUUUGACACAGACAUUAACUUUUUUUACAAUGAGACUAAGAAGCUAUUUGAGUAGCUUCCAGUGACAUGUCUUCUUCACUCACCGAUAGCUCCAAAACAUGUUCUUCACAAGGCACAAAAUAUGUAGAACAUCUCAAAGAUUUUGAGACAGUAAGGUUAAGCUAACUGAAGGUUCCAUAUUUGCAUAGGUGACAAGACUAGUCAAAAUUGGCAAUUGGAGAUGGUGCAAAAGAUGUUAGGAAUGCUUCAAGAAGCAGAUAUAGGAGUUGGGAUCAGUGGAGUGGAAGCAAUGCAGGUUCUUUAAAGAAUCUUAGGACAACCAUUUGCACGGUUUUGUAUCAAGGUAUAAUGAAUCAUUCAAAUCAAAAAGAGCUGCGUAGUUUGCUGUAUAGUGGAGUUUCUUAACCCAAAGCCUUGCUUCGUUUGCUGUAACUGUUCCCUAUAUUGUACCAGGAAGUGGUACAAAAUCUCCCCUUUGGUUGUUACAUGGCUUCUGCAGCACAAUAACCAUUUUCUUCCUCUGCAAAACCUCUCUUGAAUCCCAAGCUUUCAACCACCAAGGGAAAACCGCAGGGGAGAGAGAGAUUUUUGGAGGAACUAUGUACACAUGUGGGUUGAGUUAGCAGAUGGUACAAUCAGUUACUACCUGUUAUUGCAAAUUUGCAAUAUAUGAGCCAUUUUGUUAUAACAGAGACAAAGUUCUGAAAUGUGGAUUCAAACAUAACUAACCACAAGUAAAAAAAAUCUACAAAAGAGUUGCUGCUGACUAUAUAAUACACAAACCAUGUCAGAUUUUACCAGUCUCAUACCAACAAUGACCAUCAUUUUUUCUUUUACAGCAGAGCUCCAAAAAAAAGAGAAAAAAAAAACAUAAACUAAACACUCGCUUGCAUCUCUAAAAGAGAUAAGGAACUAAGUUAGCGUCUGCUUUUAUCUUCAAGAGUACCUAAGAGCCAACAAAGAUUGAAUUAGAAACACAGUCAGCGAGAGAUAAUAUAAAGAAACAGAAGAUGGUAGAGCUGAAAGAAGAGAGUAAAAAUAUGCUUACAUGCUUAGUGCAACGGCCUACAAAGAGAUUCUGAGGUUUGUUAUUGCCAAGAGGGUUGCUUGUAUCCAUCCCAUCCACCACUGUCUGGUUCCUUCCUCUUGAGAGUACCACCAAACAUUUGAUACAUUCUUGCUUCAUCUUUCAAGGGUAAAGAACCAGAGGAAGAUAGCUGUCUUUGUACAAGUGCUGCUUCAUCUCUGCCAUCAGUUUCAUGCCCUCCUGGUCCAGAGUUCAAGUCAAGACCAGAUCUAAACCAUUUUGCAUUGUUGCUGCUGUCCGAAACUCCACCAUUGCUACUACCGUUUGGGAGAUUAACGACAUAAGGUCUUGGGUAGUUAGAAGGGAUGGCAACUCCUGGACCCAAUAUUUGAGAGUUGACAGGAGGGAAGCAUAGCCUGCCACUUGAUGAAGAGUCCAUGUAUGGUGUUGAAGCACCUGAAAAAUUUGCUGAGGAAAGAGGAAAGCUGGAACCAAAAGGAAACCCAGGAUACUGAAAUGCUGAUGGUGGGAAUGAAACUGCUGGAGAAGACAGUAAAACAGGGCCUCUGUACAUAUCAGGUGUAUAUGAUGAAACUUCAGAUGUUGGACCAACCAUUCUCUGCGGUCCAUUGCCACGUUCAGGCAAGACUUGAGGAAUGCUCAUUGCUGAAUAAUUGUUAACAGCAGGAAACCAAGAUGAGAAGCCAGGCCUUAUUCCACUGAUCAUUGGCUGUGCACUUCGGGAAUUUUGACUAAAACCCAGAGAUGACUCAACAACGUUAACAUCAUCAACAGCAGGUCCAUCGUUUAAAUCAAAAUCCCUACUACCACCAGAAGAUAAGUUUGUCUGUUGAAAAGUUGAAUUCACCCGAUGACCACUGCUUACCGUAUGAUUAUUCAUAUCGGCUGGAUCAUCAAGUCUGUUUAGAUCAAGAUCCAGUACGCCACAGGGAUUUGUGGGAUUGGCAAAUCUUUGGGAAGGCAGAUCUUCAAGAACUCUUUCAUCCGGUACAUUUAGGUCGAAGUCCAAGAAUGUCUUUGUUUGCUUGCCAGCGGUUGUAGAAGCAUCACAGGAAGCCACAUUAUUCAUGCUUAGUGGCACCACCUCUUGGACUUUUCUUGGCUCAGCUGGUCGGAAGGCGCUAGUGGCAGCAGAUCCUCUCCACCCAACAGCUGGUUUAUUUCUCAACAGAUCAUCACGCGGAACAAAAGCACCCUUUGCAGCAGCAGCAACUGUAAUGGAUGCAGGAGGUCGACUGGUUUGUAAAGGAGUAGAUGUCAAAGACAACGAUCCAGAGAAGUUACUUGAAUUCUCCUUUCGUGUGUCAUCCCCACUGAAAGCUUCAUUUAGGUCAAAUUUAACUCCGGCUUCCAGCUCUGACCCUGCUAAAGCUGAAACUGAGGGAAGAUCUUUGGCAGCAGAGGUAAAUUCCUCUGUUUCAUGCCCAUCAGCACAUGUUGUCGUGGCGCACUGUUUUCCGACUUCAGCACUCUUUAGAGACGCCUCCACAUGCUCAACUUCAAUCUUAGUUACAGAUGAAUCCAGAUGAGCUGUCACAGGCUUGUUCUUUUUAUCUGUCUGGUUCACAUGAUUAAUCCCCACGUCCAUCUUUUCUGCAGCUAUGCCCUUGGAGAGCUUGGACGAAACAGUUACAUCUUCAGCCGUUUCUUUAUCCAAUUCAGAACUCAAGACUACCGGGGGUUUAUGCUCUUCCUUGUUAUCAGAGUGUGAAUUUGCAACAACCAAGGAUUCUACUUUGGGACAUAAUACGAUGGCUUUACAUUCAGCUGGCGCAGAAGUUUCCACUGAUGUACAAGCAGCCUUUCGAUCGUUAGCUGUUCCACCACAAUCAUUAUCAUCAGACAAUUUCUCUGGCAUCGAUCUAUCAACAUUUUCAGUACUCCUAUCCUUGGCAAACUCUGACAAAACUGAAACCACUUCACCCAUUUUAUUAACUAGCUCAGAACUUAAUAUCACCUUUGGUUUAUCUUCCACCUGAGCACCACCAGCAGCCUCCAAGUGUGAAUCUUCAGCAGUCAAAGAAUCUGCAUUUUGACUUUUGCCAAUGGUUUUACAUAUACGUAAGGCAGAGUUUCCUGUCCUCAUCACUGUAUCUGCCACUCCAUCUGUCUCUGAUAUCUCUUCAGUCUUUUGGUCACUAACUACCCCACUAUCACCAUCAUCAGAAAUGUUUCCCCCAAUGCCUGAUGUGUGCCCAGCGGUUGGGGCAAUAUCAUCUGAAUUUUCAUUGCUUUCUAGGCACUGAUCCACCAAUCUUUGCAACUCUUCGAUUUCUGAAUCGGAGUUAUCAUCAAGAUCUCCCGGCUUAGAAUCAUUUUCAUUCUCUACAACGGCCAACUGCUCGCCACUACUACUGACAUGUUCAACAAUGGUGGGAUUCACAUUCUCAGCUUGCUCGCUAGGCAUGCCAUCCAAAGAAUCUGAAACCCGAGAUACCGAGGGUGAUGCAACAGGGGAUUUGGACAUUUCAUCAGCAGCAACAGUAGCUAGAAGAUUCAUUCCAACAUCAUCUGCACCAGCCACACAUGCAUUCGCCUCAGAGUCCCUGACACAACUUUCAAUCAAAGCAUUCAUUAAGCUGUGUGAUUCACCAUGUCCUUUUCCAGUUUUGACAUCAUCUCCUGAGGUAGGAGACGUGGGCUUGACAAUAUCUUCUAUUUUACUAGACUCAUUAACAGCCUUCUCGUGCCCAUCACCACGUUCACCACAUUUAGGCAGCUUAACCAUCAACUUAUUGCUACAACCUUCAGCUUUCUCAAAAGUUACAGUUCUUUGUGAUGAGAUGCUCCUGCUCAGCCCAACUUCUGCGUGGACUGCAACAGUAUUUCUUUGCUGCCCAACGUUAGCAACAGCAACACCUGUUCCAGGUGAUGGGGCUGAUCUAGUAGAACUUGGAGAGGUGGUUGCAGACUUCACGCUGUUAUCUGAAAUACCGGACACGGACUUAAAAGGAUGCAGAGGAGAUACUGAUGUCUUGGUUGCAUCAAAGGAUACAACUGAGUGUCUACUGCCAUGGGAAACUUC